GCCGCCUUAGCUCAGUUGGUUAGAGCGACGGUUUUGUAAACCGUAGGUCCGGAGUUCGAAUCUCCGAGGCGGCUCCA
rnacentral:tRNA from 2 species